ACAGAACAUCACAACCAGAACACAAGAAGUACUCACCUCUCAGAAGACCUUGCCCUCAAUGUUGGGAAACCGCCAUUGCAACUGCUCCACGGGAACCCACGACGAGUCUUCUUCUAGGGCGCCACUCUACUUAACCAGGAGCUCUAUUAAUGGACAGUUCAUGAACUUCGUCAUCUUUCGAUCUAACACCUUCUCUAGUACAACGCGUAGGGAUCCAUGAUGAUCUACAAGGGGCAGCAACGGCGAGGGAACAAAUGUGGUCUCGAGGUGCUUCUUGAGGGACACAUGAAACACGAGAUGAAUCAAGGAAUCAGCCGGCAACUCCAACCGGUAGGCUACUUCACCGAUCUCUUCCAAAACCUUGAAGGGACCAAAAUAACGGGAAGAAAGUUUGAAGCUUUGGUAUUUAGAGACACUCUACUAACAGUAUUUCUGGAGCUUGAGAGGUCAUGGCUGCGCUCAAAGCUGUCAUUUUUUAUAAAGAGUUAAGUAUUAACAGCUUAAUUCUUGAAGGGGAUGCAACCAAGGAAUUGGAGCACAGCAAGGUUAAUCAUUCAAGACAUCAAAUCCGAGCUCAAGAAUAGGCCUAACUAGUCUGUUAUGCAUGUCUCUAGAAUGUUUAAUUGUAUGGCUCAUUGUUUAGCUAAGGAUGCAUUAAAACUCUAUGAGGGGAGUAUUUCUUUGGAGGGAGUCCCUCCUUGUAUCCAACAUUUGCUAAGCUAAGUUGAAUAAAACUAAUUAUUCUUUGAAAAAAAAAAAAA